AGAAAUUUGUGGCACAAUUAAUCGCAUAGUAUCUGGCUUGACAUCAGUCAACUUCAGUAAUUCAUCUCCUAGGUCCUUGAGAGAUGCAUCAGGGUUCAUUUCUACAGCAUACUUGUUCCCCCUCCAUAUCACUGUUAUAUUGAGUACGCUUUCUGUUUUUUGCAUGUUGUGCUUUGUAAGAAUUCCCUGCGUAGAGAAAAAAGAU
rnacentral:misc_RNA from 1 species